rnacentral:rRNA from 1 species
GGAGGAAUAUUGGGCAAUGGACGAAAGUCUGACCCAGCAACGCCGCGUGAAGGAUGAAGGCCUUCGGGUCGUAAACUUCUUUUGAGGGAGACGAGCAAGGACGGUAUCCCUCGAAUAAGCCACGGCUAACUACGUGCCAGCAGCCGCGGUAAAACGUAGGUGGCGAGCGUUAUCCGGAUUCAUUGGGCGUAAAGAGCUUGUAGGUGGUGCGAUAAGUUGGACGUGAAAACUCCGGGCUUAACUUGGAGAGGCCGUUCAAUACUGUUGUGCUAGAGGGCGUCAGAGGGAAGUGGAAUUCCUGGUGUAGCAGUGAAAUGCGUAGAUAUCAGGAGGAACACCCGUGGCGAAGGCGGCUUCCUGGGACGUACCUGACACUGAGAAGCGAAAGCUAGGGGAGCAAACG